rnacentral:rRNA from 1 species
GCUUGUUGGUGAGGUAACGGCUCACCAAGGCGACGACGGGUAGCCGGCCUGAGAGGGUGACCGGCCACGCUGGGACUGAGACACGGCCCAGACUCCUACGGGAGGCAGCAGUGGGGAAUAUUGCACAAUGGGCGCAAGCCUGAUGCAGCAACGCCGCGUGAGGGACGACGGCCUUCGGGUUGUAAACCUCUUUUAGUAGGGAAGAAGCGAAAGUGACGGUACUUGCAGAAAAAGCGCCGGCUAACUACGUGCCAGCAGCCGCGGUAAUACGUAGGGCGCAAGCGUUAUCCGGAAUUAUUGGGCGUAAAGAGCUCGUAGGCGGUUUGUCGCGUCUGCUGUGAAAACCCGAGGCUCAACCUCGGGCCUGCAGUGGGUACGGGCAGACUAGAGUGCGGUAGGGGAGAUUGGAACUCCUGGUGUAGCGGUGGAAUGCGCAGAUAUCAGGAAGAACACCGAUGGCGAAGGCAGAUCUCUGGGCCGUAACUGACGCUGAGGAGCGAAAGGGUGGGGAGCAAACAGGCUUAGAUACCCUGGUAGUCCACCCCGUAAACGUUGGGAACUAGUUGUGGGGUCCAUUCCACGGAUUCCGUGACGCAGCUAACGCAUUAAGUUCCCCGCCUGGGGAGUACGGAAUCUCUAGAGGAUCCCC